GAGCCUCCUGAAGGGCCCAGCGAGACCAGCUGGUUGAUAGGCCGGAUGUGGAAGCGCUGCAAGGCGUUGAGCUAACCGGUACUAAUGGCCCGUGAGGCUUGACCAU
rnacentral:rRNA from 1 species